GUGCAUGGAACCAUUCUUUCAGGAACACAACAAGUGCAAGUGCUAAGUUUUAUAAACUUAACGGAGUUCAGUUGCAACACCUACAAAUACGGACUCUUCCUUUUAUAAAUAAAAACUACCCUCCGAUUAAACUGCAAGUGGAAAACAGAAUGAAAAACAUUUUUGUAACGCAAUUUGAGUAAACUAGAGAUGAAAAUGCCAAUCACACACCUGUUAUAAGAGCAGAGUCCUGGAGACAGGAAUGAACUCAUUACAGAGAUGAAGUGGAUUGUCAGCUGGCACAGAAACAGCAGGAAUUCAAAGCCCUUGCACAGAGGAGG